rnacentral:rRNA from 1 species
UACGGGAGGCAGCAGUAGGGAAUAUUGGGCAAUGGGCGAGAGCCUGACCCAGCCAUGCCGCGUGCAGGAAGAAGGCUUUCUGAGUCGUAAACUGCUUUUGACAGGGAAGAAUAAGCACUACGUGUAGUGUGAUGACGGUACCUGCAGAAUAAGCACCGGCUAACUCCGUGCCAGCAGCCGCGGUAAUACGGAGGGUGCGAGCGUUGUCCGGAUUUAUUGGGUUUUAAAGGGUGCGUAGGCGGCUUUUUUAAGUCUGGGGUGAAAGCCCGCUGCUCAACAGCGGAACUGCCCCUGGAUACUGGAGAGCUUGAGUACAGACGAGGUUGGCGGAAUGGACUGAGUAGCGGUGAAAUGCAUAGAUACAGUCCAGAACCCGAUUGCGAAGGCAGCUGACUAGGCUGUUACUGACGCUGAGGCACGAAAGCGUGGGGAGCGGAACAGGAAUUAAGGAUACC